rnacentral:rRNA from 1 species
GACGAGCGCUGGCGGCGUGCUUAACACAUGCAAGUCGAACGGAAAGGCCCUGCUUUUGUGGGGUGCUCGAGUGGCGAACGGGUGAGUAACACGUGAGUAACCUGCCCUUGACUUUGGGAUAACUUCAGGAAACUGGGGCUAAUACCGGAUAGGAGCUCCUGCGGCAUGGUGGGGGUUGGAAAGUUUCGGCGGUUGGGGAUGGACUCGCGGCUUAUCAGCUUGUUGGUGGGGUAGUGGCUUACCAAGGCUUUGACGGGUAGCCGGCCUGAGAGGGUGACCGGCCACAUUGGGACUGAGAUACGGCCCAGACUCCUACGGGAGGCAGCAGUGGGGAAUAUUGCACAAUGGGCGGAAGCCUGAUGCAGCAACGCCGCGUGCGGGAUGACGGCCUUCGGGUUGUAAACCGCUUUCGCCUGUGACGAAGCGUGAGUGACGGUAAUGGGUAAAGAAGCACCGGCUAACUACGUG